CGCACAUUGCGCCCCAUGGUAUUCCGUGGGGCAUGCCUGUUCGAGCGUCAUUUACACCUUCAAGCACGGCUUGGUGUUGGGUGCCUGUCCACGCCGCCCGCGGCCGACUCGCCCGAAAUGCAUCGGCAGCAGACCUUGCCAGCUUCUUGCGCAGCACACCGCGCGUAUCGAAGCGUUCGGCAGGCCUCGCCUCCGUCAGGCUCCUCGCAGUUUGACCUCGAAUCAGGUAGGGAUACCCGCUGAACUUAA
rnacentral:misc_RNA from 1 species